UUUGGUUUAGUCUUGCAUGCACUGCAGGUUUUGGGGACCACUGUCUGUUCCCAAAGCCACCUUCCUAAUCACUGUUUGAAUGGCGGGGGCACAGCUAAGAGGCUUUACUCUGUAGGCUUUCCCAUCCUACUCUGAAGGAAAAUCUGAGGAGAAUCCAGACGCAGAGGAUCAGAGCAGCCUUGCGUACAGUCACUCACCUAAGCAAAUAAUGCAAAGUGGGGAUCUCUCAUGUCCCCUGGGCACCAUCUUAGGUGGGCUGGGAAAGUACCAUCUGCCAGCAUGACCCGGCUCGCCCGAUCACGAACCCACUCCACCUCAAGUAGCAUUGGCUCUGGAGAAAGUCCCUUCAGCAGGUCUGUGACCAGCAAUCAGUCAGAUGGAACUCAAGAAUCCUGUGAGUCCCCUGAUGUCCUGGACAGACACCAGACCAUGGAAGUGUCUUGCUAAGCAGAUGCUCCUCCCCUGGACCAUGCAAGUCCCUCCUCCUUGAAAUGACCACUCCAUAAUAGAACAUUUCAUUCCGUCA